rnacentral:rRNA from 1 species
UACAGAGGUCUCAAGCGUUGUUCGGAUUUAUUGGGCGUAAAGAGCGUGUAGGCGGCCAUGUAGGUCCGGUGUGAAAACUCGAGGCUUAACCUCGAGAUGUCAUCGGAAACCAUUUGGCUAGAGUCCGGAAGAGGAGAGUGGAAUUCCUGGUGUAGCGGUGAAAUGCGCAGAUAUCAGGAAGAACACCAAUGGCGAAAGCAGCUCUCUGGGACGGUACUGACGCUGAGGAGCGAAAGCGUGGGGAGCGAACAGG